AGGGGAGUAGUUCAAUUGGUAGAGCAACGGUCUCCAAAACCGUGAGCUGCGGGUUCGAGUCCUGUCUCCCCUG
rnacentral:tRNA from 1 species